rnacentral:snoRNA from 1 species
CCUCCCGUUCUUGGCAGGCCCCGGCCGCCCUGUGCCCGGGUCUGUGAUGUCCGGAGGUAGAGCAGCGACCCUUUCACGGGCACUCCCUUGCCGUGGGGAAGGA